UGCCUUCGUGUAUAUCCAUUAGUGCUGCUCUGUGCUUGUAGGCUCAAACUCCCAAGCAGUGUGGAGCAGAGGCUGCCUCGCUAGUGCUCCCUACAGAAAGGAAGCUGGAAUAGCUUGAAAGGGUUACAGUUUAUUUUCCUAAAGCAAGCAAAGGCACGAAGCUGCUGUGAUACUGGAGGCUGCUGAAAGCCUAGACAGAGGAAGGACUGAGCUAAGCUGUUGCACUAGAUUUGGCAGCAUUUUUGUUUUUCGGUCGGAUGUUAGGGAGGGCUGUCUAUUCCCAUCCCGUGUUUUGUUCAGUUGCUGUCACUCUUGGUGAUACGCAGAAAUAAAGACACCUCUCUGAUGCAAGUACUGAAUAGGUUAAGGAUGCUUUUGUUUUUGGCUAAUGCACUGAUGACAGUUUGUGUUUAGGCAUCCCAGGGGGAACAGCUUCCCACUAUGUAUGCUGAAGUAAUCACCCAUGAAAAAAAUAUAGAAAACUAAUUAGGAUUUUUUUCCUGCUGGGAAAUACUCUAUUGUUUAAUAUCAGGCAGGAGUUUCCCUUGGCUAAAUCCUCAGUUGGAGCUGUAGGUACUAAGAAUUGAGAACUAUUAAUAAGGUCAAAGUGGGAUUUUUUUUAAAAUGUUUUAUGAGGAAAAGGGCACUGUAUUUAACAUCUAUUCUCAGAGAGCUGAUAACAAGCAAAGUAAACGUGGCCAGACUGAACCAAGUGAAUUAUUCUGCAGUGCACAUACCUGUGUUUUACUCUGUCAAGAAAUUCUGUUCUGUAGUUUUCUUCUACUGGACUGGGAUUAUGAAGAAAAAACUAAGAACGUGCUUCUUCUGCUGAGGAUUUGGAAACACUUCAGUCUGGGACUGCAAGCAGCGAUCAUAAGAUCUGUAAGCUGGUAGUAAUGAGAAAAGGGAACAGAAUUGGCGCUAUUAGAGAUGGUGGGGCUGAGCCACCGCUUGUGCCGCUGACGGCAGAGCCUUCCCCGCGAGUUGCCCUCAGGCAGCAGGAGCAGAGCUGGCAAAGCCACGGAGUUAUGUAAAGGCCGUCACAGACACAAAAUUAGAAGGACGGUAAGAUGUGGUGAUAAGGGGCAUGAUUUAGUGAUGGGACUCAGUAGCUCAGGUUGAUGGUUGGACUAGAUCUGGAAGGCCUUUCCCAGCCAAGCUGAUUCUAUGUUCUCCUAAGAAAAUGGAGGAUAUCCUUGUGCUGGGAGACCAGACCUGCUAGGCCUUGAUUUGAGAUCAUUGCAGGGAUGGAAAUAAAAGUCAUACUUUGCGGUCAUUCUGUGUGCUAGGACACGCCAUGCUCGUCAAAAUGCAGCUGUUGUGUACUCAGGUCUCUCAACUGGCUCUAAAUGAAAUAAUUUUUUAUUGAUUUCGUAAGGUAAUGGACCUCUGAGAAAAGCGCCUUGAUCCUGUUCCAUCUAUCAGCGCAUACCGGAAUGCCCCACACUGACGUUCUGAUGCAGAUUGAAGUUACUGGGACCAUCGGCCUCUCUCGUGAACUGCAAAGUCUAUUAGUGUCUGUUGGAAUCUAAAAAGUCUGCAUUAAGAAACAGUGCCAGCAUCUCUCCUGGGACUUGUAAUUAGGCACUUCGUAGAUCCAUGGUCCUUGAAGCAGCAACACACCAAUACCAUCACUGUCACCCUUUUGGUGUCAUCACUGCAGUUCCAGAGUUACUCUCCUUUGCAGAUGAAGGGCACCAUCCAAACAGCAAAGGACUCCAGGAAGGUGGUGGUGUGUGGCAGCGGCCUAGAAGUUCAUUGACAGCAAAGCCAGGAAACCAACAUCCUGCAGCAGGAGAGGAGCAGCCAGGUGGAAAAAAGCUUACAGCAUGGAUGAGUGCAGGUAAAAUAAAAAGUCUGGCCCAGACUGGUUACACGUGUGUGCCAGGUGCAGGCAACUGCAGCUGGCUGAAGCGUGGCCUGGUCUAACUGUCCCUGGCGCCAGGCAGCUGCUGGGGUACGGGGCUUCCCCAGGCUUGU